UACGAAGGGGGCUAGCGUUGCUCGGAAUCACUGGGCGUAAAGGGUGCGUAGGCGGGUUUUUAAGUCAGAGGUGAAAUCCUGGAGCUCAACUCCAGAACUGCCUUUGAUACUGGGAAGCUUGAGUCCGGGAGAGGUGAGUGGAACUCCGAGUGUAGAGGUGAAAUUCGUAGAUAUUCGCAAGAACACCAGUGGCGAAGGCGGCUCACUGGCCCGAUACUGACGCUGAGGUGCGAAAGCGUGGGGAGCAAACAGG
rnacentral:rRNA from 1 species